UUGCUCCUUGGGAGGCGAGUGGCGAAUGGGUGACGAAUACAUCCCAAUCCACGCUGUCGUGGGGGAUAACGUAGGGAAACUUACGCUAAUACCGCACACGACCUACGGGUGAAAGCGGGGGAUCUCCCGACCUUGCACGAUUGAAUGACCCAAUAUCUGAUUAGCGAGAUGGCGGGGUAAAGGCCCACCAAGGCGACGAUGCUCAGAUGGUCUGAGAGGAUGAUCAGCCACUGAGACACUGACCCACCUCCCACACUCCUACGGGAGGCAGAAUUGGGGAAUAUUGGACAAUGGGCGCACCCCUGAUCCAGCCAGACCGCGUGGGUGAAGAAGGCCUUCGGGUUGUUUAGCCCUUUUGUUGGGAAAGAAAUCCAUCUGGUUAAUACCCGGGUGGGAUGACGGUACCCAAAGAAUACUCACCGGCUAACUUCGUGCCCGCUACCGCGGUAAUAGCAAGGGUGCAUCCGAUUCUCUGAAUUACUGGGCGUAAAGCGUGGUUAGGUGGUCGUUUUGUUCCGUUGUGAGGCUCCUGGGCUCAACCUGGGAACUGCCUGGGAUACUGGACGACUAGAAAGUGGUAGAGAAUUCCCGGAAUUCCUGGUGUAUGCGUAAAAUGCGUAGAGGAACACGAGGAACAUCCAUGGCCAACGCGGACUACCUGGACCAACAUUGACACUGAGGCGUGGGGACGUGGGGAGCAAACAUACACUAGAUACCCUGGUACUCCACGCUCUAAACGAUGCGAUGUGGAUGUUUGGGUGCUCAUUUGGCACACUUAUCCGAAGUAUAAUCGCCUUCAUGUUCGACUCCUGGGGGAGUGCGUGUCGCAAGACAGGAAUCUCACAGGGAACUCGACGCGAGGCCGCGCGACACGCGGGUGGUAUAUUGCUGGUUUAACUUCGAUGCAACCGCACAAGACUCUUAACCAUGGGCCGUGACAUGUUCGAGAAACUGUACCAGAUGAUGGUAUUGGUGCUCCUUCGAGGCACUCGACUACAUGCUGCUUGCCAUGGCCUGUCGGUCAGCUUCGAUGUUCGUGAGUAUGAUCGCGUUAAGUACCGCAGCGAAGUCGUCCUCCAUGCCUAGUGCAUGCGAUCGUAAUCGUGGAGAAUCAUCUCUCGCAGGUGAGUCUACACCUAGC
rnacentral:rRNA from 1 species